GCUGUGGGGGCGGGUGGCGAGCAGCCAGAGCCGGUGGUGCUCAGCAGCAGCCAUGCGUGGCAGCCGCAGCGGGGCCUAUACUGCACUGACCAUGGAGCCCCCCCAGAGCGUGAGGCCUGGGGCGAUCGCCCCGAUUCGCCCCCCCAGGGAAGGGACAGCCCUGGUAACAGCAGAUGGGAUCCUGCAAGCUGCAUGGAAUGUUUGCAACUUGAUGAACAGCCGAGACAACCAAUGACCAGCAUGAAGAACUGCCAUCGUCUCCAGAGAACUAAAGGGAUGCAGCUACAGAACUAAUGAAACAACAUCUUUUGACUUUGUUUUGCCUAGUUUGUUGUGGUUUUUUUAAAUGUAUAUAAUAUAGCAAAGUAAUGCACAUUCCAAUGAA